rnacentral:rRNA from 1 species
UGGGGAAUAUUGCGCAAUGGGCGAAAGCCUGACGCAGCGACGCCGCGUGAGGGAUGAAGGUUUUCGGAUCGUAAACCUCUGUCAGAAGGGAAGAAACCGCACUGUGCUAAUCAGCAGUGCCUUGACGGUACCUUCAAAGGAAGCACCGGCUAACUCCGUGCCAGCAGCCGCGGUAAUACGGAGGGUGCAAGCGUUAAUCGGAAUUACUGGGCGUAAAGCGCACGUAGGCUGCUUUGUAAGUCAGGGGUGAAAUCCCACGGCUCAACCGUGGAACUGACUUUGAUACUGCUUAGCUUGAAUCCGGGAGAGGGUGGCGGAAUUCCAGGUGUAGGAGUGAAAUCCGUAGAUAUCUGGAGGAACAUCAGUGGCGAAGGCGGCCACCUGGACCGGUAUUGACGCUGAGGUGCGAAAGCGUGGGGAGCAAACAGG